AUGUAUAGCAAUAGCUUAUUGCACCAACAAAUAGUUGAUGUAAUAUUGACUCUGUCAAAUAAAAUUCUAGGUAGAAUUAUGAUAAUGACAUUGUCUGCCUAUAUGUCUUGACCAAAUUACGUGCCAGCAGUCGCGGUAAUACGUAGAAGACUAGUGUUAUUCAUCUUUAAUAGGUUUAAAGGGUACCUAGACGGUAGAUCAAGCCUUCGCAGGGACUAAUUUACUAGAGUUACUUACGAGGGGGUAUUAAAGUACUGCAGGUGUAGGGAUGAAAUUCUGUCAUACCUCUUUUCGAAAGAAAAAUUAUGGCACAGGUAUAGGUGAAAGCAUCCCCUUAUGUGAUAACUGACGUUGAAGGACGAAGGCUUUGUGUCGCGAACAGGAUUAGAUACCCCAGUAGUCAAAGCAGAAAAUGAUGAAUGUCAUAGAUUAGAUAAAUAGUUUAUUCUAUAAAUGAAAAUGUAAGCAUUCCACCUCAAGAGUAAUUUGGCAACAUUGGAACUGAAAUCAUUAGACCGUUUCUGAAACCAGUAGUGAAGUAUGUUGUUUAAUUUGAUGAUCCGCAAAAAACCUUACCACAAUUUGAAUAUUUAUAUCUAUCUUCUUUUUUCGUAAAAAAAUAAAAAGGUAAUAUAUUUACAAGCGUUGCACGGCUGUCUUCAGUUAAUGUCGCGAGACUUUGGUUAGUUCCAUUAAAUUAACGUAAACCCUUACUUUAUUUUUAUAUAAAGUAGUUCCCCGCUAUAUUGGAUAUGAUAACAGGGACUAAGACAAGUCAUCAUGGCCUGAAUAUUGUGGGCUAUAGACGUGCCACAUAAACCUUACAAAAGGGUGUGAAAUUGUGAAAUUGAGCUAAUCCCCCAA
rnacentral:rRNA from 1 species